UUGGCCUACGGGGGGCAGCAGUGAGGAAUAUUGGUCAAUGGGCGGAAGCCUGAACCAGCCAAGUCGCGUGAGGGAAGAAGGCCCUGCGGGUCGCAGACCUCUUUGGACGGGGAGCAAGGCCGCCGACGUGUCGGCGGAAGGAGAGUACCCGUAGAACAAGCAUCGGCUAACUCCGUGCCAGCAGCCGCGGUAAUACGGAGGAUGCGAGCGUUAUCCGGAUUUAUUGGGUUUAAAGGGUGCGUAGGCGGAUUGAUAAGUUAGAGGUGAAAUGUCCGAGCUUAACCCGGGAACUGCCUCUAAUACUG
rnacentral:rRNA from 1 species